GUGGUAUAGCAGCCGCACACACCUUGUUGCAGUGAAACCUGUGCUGUGGAGUUAUUCCCUGUGAGCGCCAGAGAUUGUUGGACCGUUCACCCUCACGUUCACCCUCACGUUCACCAUAUGGGACAAGUGAACACACACAAGAAUGAACGAGUGUCAAUAACCUGGCGUAAUAAUAUACCAAGAAGAAAUACCCUUGUCUAACGACCCUCAGUGGCUGUUAUACCUCACUAUACCCCUCUCCUUUACCCAUUCCUUACCCUCCCCAUCACCAACUAUGAAAAACACACACUACACCUCUCUCCUGCUACCUUUCCUACCAUUCCCUUGCCAUCUCCUUCCCCUCCCUGGCCCUCUCCUUCCCUCUCCCCUCCCAUCUCUCCCCCCACGCACCCUGAGGUAGAUUAACGAGUGAUCAGCUGAGAAUUCACGAUGACACACUGACGGGACCCAGAUACGGAUCCGAUGGCGGUUACAGGAGUUUCGGUCCCCGCAGGUGGUACAGCAAAACAACAAACGAGAGAGAGAGAGAGA